CCACGUUGAAACACCGGUUCCCGUACGAUCACUGAAGUUAAGCAAUGUUGAGCCUGGUCAGUGCCUACAUGGGUGACCGUUUGAGAAUACUAGUUGAUGUAAG